UACAGAGGUCCCAAGCGUUGUUCGGAUUCACUGGGCGUAAAGGGUGCGUAGGUGGCUUGGUAAGUUUGAUGUGGAAUCUCCGGGCUUAACCCGGAAAUGGCAUUGAAUACUAUUGAGCUGGAGGUUUGGAGGGGGGACUGGAAUUCUCGGUGUAGCAGUGAAAUGCGUAGAUAUCGAGAGGAACACCAGUGGCGAAGGCGAGUCCCUGGACAACACCUGACACUGAGGCACGAAAGCCAGGGGAGCAAACGGG
rnacentral:rRNA from 1 species